AUAGUUUUGUAAUCGAUUAGUUGUUGCAACUCUGCUUGUUUCUCUCCUCUAGAUUCAUUCAUUCAUAAAGUCCCGUGGAUUCAUGGGUAAUUUCCCACAAAACAUCACAUGUUUGACGAAUCAUCUGAUUUCUGUUUAUUGGACAACACUGGUCCAAUAUUUUCCGACUGCUCCAUCAAAGCUUUUACAAAUAAAAGAAAGAAAGAAAGAAAAGAAAAAAAAGAAAGGGCAAAUGUGUUGCAUCAACAGAUUGCCGUCUUCCGAACACAAAACAGGCGACUCUGGUGAGGCGACAGACUUCUGCUGCAGCUUAUUGAGCGGAGGCGUCCAUCUGCACGUCUGUGCUCGUCAUCCCAAAAGCUUCGGCAGCAUCAGUCCUCUUCACUUCACUCUCCACAGUGUGUGUGUGUGUGUGCGCGUGUGUGUGUGUGUGUGUUAAAGUACCACUCUCUCUGCACGAUGGGCUUAUGUAACGUGGAGGCCUCAGAGUGACCAUAUGUCAGGAGGUGUGUGCAGACGGCAGGGGAUUAUACAGCAGCCAUUAUCAGCGUUUGGACAUCCUCCUCCUCUUCCUCAUCAUCAUUCAGGUCUCCACAUCCAAGGCCAGAAGUCCCCCCGUCAACACUCCUUCUACCCCUUCCCUCCUCUCUCAUUGAGGUGUGUGCACGUGGAGGAGCCGGCGUGCACGCCCCUGUGAGUGUGGAUGAAGGGUGCUCGUGCAGAGUACAAAGCCCGGUCCAUGUGUUGAAAUGCGGCCCCCGGGAUGGGCCGUAUUAUCCCUGCCUCCUUCACCAGCAGGGUCCCGGGGCUCGAGCUGGCUCGUGGCCCUUUGUCUCCAAACAGAUGGAAAUGGGCAGAGGAGCGGACGAGUGGAGAAUCAGAGGAGGAGGAGGAGGAGGAGGAGGAGAAAGAGUCAGUCUGUUCUCAUUAAGUGCUGCAUUGAAGGCAACGUCCCCCCAACAAUGCGUCAGCAGCCGCGGAUGGUCCCCCUCUCAUUCAGACUCACGCUCCGACCAUCUGCACCGGCGGCCUGUCAGGAGGUGUGUGUGUAUAUGUGUGUGUGUGUGUGUGUGUGCGUGUGCUCGCAUCAGGCCGCAGCACACGGACCAAUCACACGGACCAUUCUGCUCGGUUAGAGGCGGCGACAUUCACUGGCUUUCAAUCUGGUUAAGAUCUUUAAAAAUCCAAUUGUUGGACCUUUUGUUGUGGACGAGUCAGUCAAUGAGUGUGUCACGUCCCACACACACACACACACACACACACACACACACACACACACACA